CCGGAAGUGUGUCCUGAGCGGUCCGCAGGGGGCGUUCUUGGCACGGGGGUGCCUCCUUUGGUAGCUAACUGGCUGUGCUGGAGGCAGACGCCACAGUAACAAUUGAGUAUCUGCGAGAGAAAACACAGAUUAAGACCAUGAUUCACAAAGUAUCAUUGUAUGUCACUUUAUCCUUCAACAAUUAGGAUUAUGGAGAAGACAACUGCCUUCUCAGCACAAACAGUUCUAUUCUGCCACAACGCUCCCACACUGCCCUGUUGAUACAGCCCUGCAGAGCCUCGCUGUGUGUAUAAAGGCACGGAAACCAGAAGGGCUCUCAUUCAGAGAGGUCAUAAAGCAAGAACUCAAGAAAUGCUCGUUAACUCUUUAAGAUCUGUUUUAUGUGCCUUUUCCCUUUCCCCGCAAGAAGUCUUCCAUUGAUCCUAACAUUGUUAACUAAUCACCCGUGUACUAGGAGCUGGCUAGAGAGAGCACACAAUGGUGAAAAAGGAAUCAGCAGUACUAUCAGACCCAAAUCCCGGAACUUCAAACUAUGGGAAGGAAAUGUGCUGUCCACUGGACAGGUAUAUUGCACUGGACCCUCUGGAAGUUGAAGCUGGAAUGUUAAUUUACCCAAACUUCCAGGUGAUUAUAAUGCACCAUACACAGCUCUAAAGAGAGGUCCUAAGAAUCAUUCAAUCAAGAA